rnacentral:rRNA from 1 species
GACGAACGCUGGCGGCGUGCUUAACACAUGCAAGUCGAACGGAAAGGCCCUGCUUUUGUGGGGUGCUCGAGUGGCGAACGGGUGAGUAACACGUGAGUAACCUGCCCUUUACUUUGGGAUAACUUCAGGAAACUGGGGCUAAUACCGGAUAUGAGCUCCUGCUGCAUGGUGGGGGUUGGAAAGUUUCGGCGGUUGGGGAUGGACUCGCGGCUUAUCAGCUUGUUGGUGGGGUAGUGGCUUACCAAGGCUUUGACGGGUAGCCGGCCUGAGAGGGUGACCGGCCACAUUGGGACUGAGAUACGGCCCAGACUCCUACGGGAGGCAGCAGUGGGGAAUAUUGCAAAAUGGGCGGAAGCCUGAUGCAGCAACGCCGCGUGCGGGAUGACGGCCUUCGGGUUGUAAACCGCUUUCGCCUGUGAAGAAGAGUGAGUGACGGUAAUGGGUAAAGAAGCACCGGCUAACUACGUG